CCUACGGGAGGCAGCAGUAGGGAAUCUUCCGCAAUGGACGAAAGUCUGACGGAGCAACGCCGCGUGAACGAUGAAGGCCUUCGGGUCGUAAAGUUCUGUUGUUAGGGAAGAACAAGUGCUAGUUAAAUAAGCUGGCACCUUGACGGUACCUAACCAGAAAGCCACGGCUAACUACGUGCCAGCAGCCGCGGUAAUACGUAGGUGGCAAGCGUUGUCCGGAAUUAUUGGGCGUAAAGCGCGCGCAGGCGGUUUCUUAAGUCUGAUGUGAAAGCCCCCGGCUCAACCGGGGAGGGUCAUUGGAAACUGGGAAACUUGAGUGCAGAAGAGGAAAGUGGAAUUCCAAGUGUAGCGGUGAAAUGCGUAGAGAUUUGGAGGAACACCAGUGGCGAAGGCGACUUUCUGGUCUGUAACUGACGCUGAGGCGCGAAAGCGUGGGGAGCAAACAGGAUUAGAUACCCUGGUAGUCCACGCUGUAAACGAUGAGUGNUAGUAGUAGUACGGUUCCGUCCGUUACGUGUNUAGUAGUACG
rnacentral:rRNA from 1 species